CCAGACUCCUACGGGAGGCAGCAGUGGGGAAUCUUCCGCAAUGGGCGCAAGCCUGACGGAGCAACGCCGCGUGAGUGAAGAAGGUCUUCGGAUCGUAAAGCUCUGUUGACGGGGACGAACGUGCGGAGUGCGAAUAGCGCUUUGUAAUGACGGUACCUGUCGAGGAAGCCACGGCUAACUACGUGCCAGCAGCCGCGGUAAUACGUAGGUGGCGAGCGUUGUCCGGAAUCAUUGGGCGUAAAGGGAGCGCAGGCGGGCCGGUAAGUCUUACUUAAAAGUGCGGGGCUCAACCCCGUGAUGGGAAAGAAACUAUGUGUCUUGAGUACAGGAGAGGAAAGCGGAAUUCCCAGUGUAGCGGUGAAAUGCGUAGAUAUUGGGAGGAACACCAGUGGCGAAGGCGACUUUCUGGGCAACAACUGACGCUGAGGCACGAAAGUGUGGGGAGCAAACAGGAUUAGAUACCCUGGUAGUCCACACCGUAAACGAUGGAUACUAGGAGUUGGCAAAAAUAUUGUCGGUUCCGCAGUUAACGCAUUAAGUAUCCCACCUGGGGAGUACGACCGCAAGGUUAAAACUCAAAGGAAUUGACGGGGGCCCCGCACAAG
rnacentral:rRNA from 1 species